AACGCGAAGAACCUUACCGGGGCUUGACAUCCUGCGCUAUCCUAGGAGACUAGGUUUCCGGGCAACCGGACGCAGAGACAGGUGCUGCAUGGCUGUCGUCAGCUCGUGCCGUGAGGUGUUGGGUUAAGUCCCGCAACGAGCGCAACCCUUGCCGUGUGUUGGUCGCAAGAUCUCUCACGCGGGACCGCCGGUGACAAGCCGGAGGAAGGUGGGGAUGACGUCAAGUCAGCAUGGCCCUUACGUCCCGGGCUACACACGUGCUACAAUGGGAGGGACAACGAGUCGCGAACCCGCGAGGGCAAGCUAAUCUCACAAACCCUCUCUCAGUUCGGAUUGAAGGCUGCAACUCGCCUUCAUGAAGUCGGAAUCGCUAGUAACCGUAGAUCAGCUACGCUGCGGUGAAUACGUUCCCGGGCUUGUA
rnacentral:rRNA from 1 species